rnacentral:rRNA from 1 species
GAUGAACGCUGGCGGCGUGCCUAAUACAUGCAAGUCGAGCGAACGGACGAGAAGCUUGCUUCUCUGAUGUUAGCGGCGGACGGGUGAGUAACACGUGGAUAACCUACCUAUAAGACUGGGAUAACUGCGGGAAACCGGAGCUAAUACCGGAUAAUAUUUUGAACCGCAUGGUUCAAAAGUGAAAGACGGUCUUGCUGUCACUGAUAGAUGGAUCCGCGCUGCAUUAGCUAGUUGGUAAGGUAACGGCUUACCAAGGCAACGAUGCAUAGCCGACCUGAGAGAGUGAUCGGCCACACGGGAACUGAGACACGGUCAAGACUCCUACGGGAGGCAGCAGUAGGGAAUCUUACGCAAUGGGCGAAAGCCUGACGGAGCAACGCCGCGUGAGUGAUGAAGGUCUUCGGAGCGUAAAACUCUGUUAUUAGGGAAGAACAUAUGUGUAAGUAACUGUGCACAUCUUGACGGUACCUAAUCAGAAAGCCACGGCUAACUACGUG